rnacentral:antisense_RNA from 1 species
AGUCACAAAUCAUCGCAUCACCUUCGACUGGUCCCUUUCUCUUAUCGAGCCUCAGUUUUCUCUUCCAUAAGCCGGGCCAGUAUUGCCUACCCCACAGGAUGGCGCCGGCUCCAUAAGGGCCCUACCACCGCGGCCGGCCAGAUCCUCGGCGGGCCAGUCCUGGGGCUGCGGUCCUUUAGCCUGAUGACCCCUGGCCAGGUUCAGGUUCAAUUGCUCCAAAGAACUCCGGACCCGUACCCCGAGCCCGGCGUCCCAGCGGCGAAGUUCAUGGGCCCCGCAGGAGCCCCUGCGGGCCCUGGAAAUGGGGGAUCUCCUGCCUUGACAGCUCAUCAGUACGUGUGAAAAGCCAACAAGAGUGGAUAUGAUAGGAACUGCAAUCACACAGCACUUUGGAGAGUGUGAAGAUUGGUGCUCACAGCAGAAGUUAACACACUGAUGCUGUGAUCACUGUUCAGUAGGUGGAAUGG